rnacentral:rRNA from 1 species
AUGGCUAGUCCAUUCGGUGUCUUGGUUUGUCUACUCAUAGUGCUACCACAAAUCCUUGCUAUUUCUAGCCCCAUCGACGAGAUUGCACCUCUUAAGACAUGUCAGUUCCCUUGUAUGACCGAGGUUAACUUGCACUUGUUCUUGCACCAAUUCGUCGACGGGCCAAACAACCCAAACCGCAAUGAGGAAACCUUACUCCAAGCAAGUUUUAUUUUUGGGUUUGGGACGACGGUAGUCCAUGACUGGACUCUUACUAAGACAACAAAUUCCAGAGACACGGUUGUUGCACGUGUACAAGGUGUGCAUGUCCAGGCUGGUUUAACCAAGCCUAACAGAUGGUACACAACUCAUAACAUAGAGUUUCAGCAAGGAAGGUUUGCGGGGUCCACCCUUCAAGUGAUGGGAUAA